rnacentral:lncRNA from 1 species
AGCACAACUGCUCCCCAGAAGAAGAGGAAGAAACAGCCCCUCGGGCCCCAGCUCUGUCGUCUAGAAGGAGACUGCGGCAGAGUUCCUGUGUUAGGCCAAGAAUCAGGCAAGAAUUUUGCUCCCUGGAUUGUAUGAAAUUAGAAAGUGUCAUGUCAGACGACUGCCUAACCCAAAGGAAAAAAUGUCAGGGUUCAGGACUCUUCUGGGAGGCCAAUAGGGAGUCUCAAAGGACCAGGAAGAAGUUGGCCAUCAAGGUCUGAGGAGGGGUGGCAGGCAGGUCACCCCCAGCAUUCUGUGUGCCCACCUGCCUCCUGAACUCAGGACCAUCUUCCAGACCUCCUCUGUCCCAGAGCUCCAGGAGACCGAAACUUGCUGCAUGGAUGCAGCAAAAGAUGAUGCCUUCCUCCUAACUAGGAAGGGUGGGUGGCCAGCUCUCCGCCAUGUGGAGUGAGUUACUGCUGGAUAAUAAACUGGUGAGUGCUUCAUAAAGAGACGCUGAAUAAAUAGGCUGUGCUUUAAAAGCU